CAGCCAUGCCGCGUGCAGGAGAUGCCCUAUGGGUUGUAAACUGCUUUUAUUUGGGAAUAAACCUCUUUACGUGUAGAGAGCUGAAGGUACCAAAUGAAUAAGCACCGGCUAACUCCGUGCCAGCAGCCGCGGUAAUA
rnacentral:rRNA from 1 species